UCUGAAUUCCCAAAGCCCUCAUCCUGCUUCUGGACCAGGCAGACUGACCCAUUGGAGCCUGGAGGGACUCUGAGGGGGACACCCUGGCCCAUAGUGCCUCCAUCAGACGGAGCCUCCACCUGGGGAAGGAGCUACAGGAAGCAUCUGGUCCUUGUGGGCCCAAAAGAGUUGGAAGGAAAAGAAAGACUUGGCUGCACCCAGUACCAAUACGUCCCCAAACCCCAGCACCCAAAGGUCUCAACACUGGGCCUGACCCUGGCCCACAACACAGCACUGGGACUCACUUUAGGUCUCCUGGGUCUUGCUGCUCCGUUAGAACCCAGCCCCUUUGUGACAUGGUCAGGAGGCUAUGCUGACAGCUGCUCUGGAGCCGUGUCGACCACAGGGCCAGGGGAGAAAAUCCUGAAGGUGAACCUGGCCCGGCUGGCAAUCUUCCACCUGAACAAGGCAAGACAGUGGAAGAGGCUGCAGAGCUGGCGCUGGGCUACAUGAAGUUGAGGCUCAAAGGCUUGGAGGGCCUCAUCCUGGUCAGCAGAACAGGGGACUAGGUAGCAAAAUGGAUCUCAGACUCCAUUCCCUUGGCAGCCGUGAAGGGUGGCAAGGUGCAUGCUGGCACUAACAUCAGUGACACCACCAUCACAGACCUGUGCUGAGUUGGAGAUGGUACCCACAGGAUUGGUGUAGCUUAAUCAAUUAGACAUCAAGGGAAAAUUCACUCAGCCUGUCCCUGGUUUUGUUCCUGAUCCUUAAGUAUUUGAAUAUUUGUUUGCAUUGAAGCUCUACAGUAGUGAGAGAAACACUAACUUCAGAUCAUCUUCAUCACAGUUAGGAUCGUUAUGUAUGGCAAACACGUACUAAUAAAGACCAUUUAAAAAUGAGAAAU
rnacentral:lncRNA from 1 species